rnacentral:rRNA from 1 species
GAGUUUGAUCCUGGCUCAGGAUGAACGCUAGCUACAGGCUUAACACAUGCAAGUCGAGGGGCAGCAUAUUUGUAGCAAUACAAAUGAUGGCGACCGGCGCACGGGUGAGUAACACGUAUCCAACCUACCAUUUACUCGGGGAUAGCCUUUCGAAAGAAAGAUUAAUACCCGAUAGUAUAGAUUGACCUCAUGGUUUUUCUAUUAAAGAAUUUCGGUACUUGAUGGGGAUGCGUUCCAUUAGGCAGUUGGCGGGGUAACGGCCCACCAAACCUACGAUGGAUAGGGGUUCUGAGAGGAAGGUCCCCCACAUUGGAACUGAGACACGGUCCAAACUCCUACGGGAGGCAGCAGUGAGGAAUAUUGGUCAAUGGAUGAGAAUCUGAACCAGCCAAGUAGCGUGAAGGAUGACUGCCCUAUGGGUUGUAAACUUCUUUUAUAAGGGAAUAAAGUUGUCUAUGUAUAGACAUUUGUAUGUACCUUAAGAAAAAGCAUCGGCUAACUCCGUGCCAGCAGCCGCGGUAAUACGGAGGAUGCAAGCGUUAUCCGGAUUUAUUGGGUUUAAAGGGAGUGUAGGCGGAUGAUUAAGUCAGUUGUGAAAGU